GUCAAUUGGCGGCACACUCCAACUCUCCGGUGGUCCCGCUUUCGGUAGUUGGAAUCUACCGAACACCCCGGCAGAAAGGCACGAAUAAAAUAAACGGAUUAACCUGCAGGGCCAUAGUCCACAGGGAGCAGGCGAGCAACCAGGCUUCUCCAGUUCACAGUGGCGAGGUUGGUUUCGCCACACUUGGGUUCUGACUCACUGUCAGUUUCUUCCGACUGAAGAGCUGGGAGUACA